rnacentral:rRNA from 1 species
AUUGAACGCUGGCGGCAGGCCUAACACAUGCAAGUCGAACGGUAACAGGAAACAGCUUGCUGUUUCGCUGACGAGUGGCGGACGGGUGAGUAAUGUCUAGGAAACUGCCUGAUGGAGGGGGAUAAUUACUGGAAACGGUAGAUAAUACCGCAUAACGUCGCAAGACAAAAGAGGGGGACCUUCGGGCCUCUUGACAUCGGAUGUGCCCAGAUGGGAUUAGCUUGUUGGUGGGGUAACGGCUCACCAAGGCGACGAUCCCUAGCUGGUCUGAGAGGAUGACUAGCCACACUGGAACUGAGACACGGUCCCGACUCCUACGGGAGGCAGCAGUGGGGAAUAUUGCACAAUGGGCGCAAGCCUGAUGCAGCCAUGCCGCGUGUAUGAAGAAGGCCUUCGGGUUGUAAAGUACUUUCAGCGGGGAGGAAGGGAGUAAAGUUAAUACCUUUACUCAUUGACGUUACCCGCAGAAGAAGCACCGGCUAACUCCGUGCCAGCAGCCGCGGUAA